CAAUCGGUACAAGUUUAGUAUCUAUCUAAUAUUCGAAGUAAAAUAUUUUAAAUUCACAUCUUGUCGUUAAAAUGUUAAAUUGUAUUUAUUCUUCUUGAAGAUAAUGUGGUUCGCGCUCACAUGAAUACGUCUCAUUCUUAUGUGUUAGACUGUUUACAAUUUGUAAAAAAAUUUGAACUACGCGUGUGUAUGAUUUGUACGAGUAUUGUAUUUUGCGUAUAAUUGUCACUAUACAUUUUCAACCAUGUAUGCGAUGAAAGAUUGAGUUACACGCAUCGAAUUUGAAAAAAAAGAUAAUUUUGUUGCUGUUUUCUUCAAUUGAGUUCAAAGUUUCAAAGAGCUUGUCUCAAAUUGUUAAGCUUCUUUUGGUUUCCACGUGGUUUCGAUACUAAACAAGGAGGUGGUUGACUGUAAGACGUUAAGUAAAGUGUUGGUU